CAAAACGACUCUCGGCAACGGAUAUCUCGGCUCUCGCAUCGAUGAAGAACGUAGCGAAAUGCGAUACUUGGUGUGAAUUGCAGAAUCCCGUGAACCAUCGAGUCUUUGAACGCAAGUUGCGCCCAAAGCCUUUUGGUUGAGGGCACGUCUGCCUGGG
rnacentral:rRNA from 12 species